GUGCCAGCAGCCGCGGUAAUACCGGCAGCCCGAGUGAUGGCCGAUAUUAUUGGGCCUAAAGCGUCCGUAGCUGGCCGGACAAAUCCGUUGGGAAAUCCACCCGCUUAACGGGUGGGCGUCCAGCGGAAACUGUCCGGCUUGGAGCCGGAAGACCUGAGGGGUACGUCCGGGGUAGGAGUGAAAUCCCGUAAUCCUGGACGGACCGCCGGUGGCGAAAGCGCCUCAGGAGGACGGACUCGACAGUGAGGGACGAAAGCUGGGAUCUCGAACCGGAUUAGAAACCCUAGUAGUCC
rnacentral:rRNA from 1 species